GAUGAACGCUGGCGGCGCGCCUAACACAUGCAAGUCGAACGGUUAAAGCAUCUUCGGAUGUGCAUAAAGUGGCGAACGGCUGAGUAACACGUGGGCAACCUGCCCCUCGCAUCGGGACAGCCUCGGGAAACCGUGGUUAAUACCGGAUACUCCGCCUCCCCCGCAUGGGGGAGGCGGGAAAGCCCAGACGGCGAGGGAUGGGCCCGCGGCCUGUUAGCUUGUUGGUGGGGCAGUGGCCCACCAAGGCGAUGAUGGGUAGCCGGGUUGAGAGACCGACCGGCCAGAUUGGGACUGAGACACGGCCCAGACUCCUACGGGAGGCAGCAGUGGGGAAUCUUGCACAAUGGGCGAAAGCCUGAUGCAGCGACGCCGCGUGCGGGACGAAGGCCUUCGGGUCGUAAACCGCUUUCAGCAGGGACGAGGCCGCAAGGGACGGUACCG
rnacentral:rRNA from 1 species